rnacentral:ncRNA from 1 species
CACAGCGAACACGGGUGCUUUCUCCCUCUUUAGACCGUAACUAAGGAACAACAAACGCAGUAGUUUGCGAGGGAGAAGGCUGAGACCCCACAUAUGGGAACCGUUGCACCUGAUCCGGGUAAUACCGGCGCGAGGGAGGAAA